rnacentral:lncRNA from 10 species
CUUUUCCCGCCGUGCCCCGCGCGCGGCCUUUCACGCCGGGAUCCGGGUCCCGGUGCUUCUCGGUUCAUUCCCAGCUGGGUCCGGGCCCGGCCAGACUGGGUGGAAAUCUGGCUGACCUUGGUGGUCUGUCUUGGCCAGCUGGAGCAAAGGGAUGCCAGGGGACGGGUCUCGGUGCAGUGACUGCCAUUAGCUUGGGGCCGCAGAAAGUUUCUCCCCUUUCUCGGGCUCCUGCCAGGCCCUUGGCUUUCAGAGCCAGGCCCGAUUUCUAGAUAACAUUUAAGUUUGCAGAAAAGGGGAUGCCAAGUCACGGUGGUCACGGCUGUGGGAUGCAGCCUCUGAGAUUUGUAUUAAUUUUUGUGAGCCGGGGAAAGGCCUUGCUGCUUUCUCCGCCAGGACUGAUGUGUCUUCCCAAGAUGAAAGUGCCUGAUGCUGCUGCUUUCUCCCCUGAUGGGAAGUGGAAGCCAUGAUUCUGCAGUCCUGGCCAUAAAGCUGUGAAUUGUACUAGCUGGCACAGCCAGUACUGCCCUACUGAGUUCAGUGAACUGUCCUUCUGAUCUACACUGAGAGAGCCUGGCUGUGGUGCAAUGCUCACAGUGAAGCCGUCUGCAUAGCUGAGCUAACAAUUCAAACUUCAGCUCUCAUUUCAAUAAAUUACCUUAUAAAACACUCACUGACCAAGAUUACCUUGAGUAGCUUAUUUAUAUGAAUUUUGCAGUUACCCCAAAUUAGCCAUGGAGAAACUGAUAUACAAUGUUUCUUAUAAUUUCCCCUCAAACCAUAGCAAAAACAUGAAGGGAAGUACUAGGAUUUCUGGGAAUAUGGAAUUUAUAUCUAUGCCCCACAAACAAUGUUAAAGAAAACGGGCUUUGGAUAUUUUCAAAGGCCUGUGGUGAGGAUUAAAUAAGGCAUAAUAUAUGAAAAUGUUUUGUGAAUUCCAAAAUGUUUUACCAAGAUAAAAGAUUUUUAAAAUCAGUUUCUGUCAGUUUCAUACAUCCAAUCCUGAAAUCAAGUCUACACUGAUUUAUUACAUAUAAGGAAAUAUUUUUGACGUGAAUAGGCAAUCAUAGAAUUUCUAUUGUAUUCGAAUAAUGAUUGAAAGUAAUUUUCUUUUUGAGAUUUUGACUUCCCCAUUUGAGGUAAUAUUCUCAAGGGACUAAAUGUUACUGAUGUUGAAGAUUUAUCCCAAAUGAGGUUUGCUUUGGGUGACAGAAUUCAAAGCUAGCUCUGAACAAAACUGAAAUGGUGGCUAAUACGAUCCUUUCUGUGCCUCCCUUUUCUUUCCUUUUGGAUACUUCAAAUACACAGCUAGUUUCCUUGGGACAUCCUAGGGCAGUCAGGGUCAUUUCCUUCUCUCUCCAAGACUGACCUGCCACAAUCCAUCAGGGACUAUGAUUUUGUUGUAAAUAUUUAGAAAGAUGGUGCACAACAAUAGAUUUGGCAAAAACUGAGCUGAUGGCAUGCAAGUGUAGCCAAGUGUGGGAAUCCAUACUUGGAAUAAUCUAAAGGAAUGUUUAACGGUGGUAAAAGAGAAGUGCAGGAGAUGGGGCAGCAUUUUCAGGGCCUCUCACCUAAUGAAAUAUUGGCAUCUUACAGGCUUGAGGGUCACUUGUCUGAUGAUUUGUGUGCUAAUUCUGUUGGAAGAGAAGAUUCUCAAGAAAUACACUAUUGCCAUUAAAAGUAAAACACAAGAUUGUUUCCUCCCUUGAAUAUAGCAAGAACUCUGUAGAGUAAUCAAUGCUUUGGCCAGAUAUCCUUGAGAAUUAAUGUUUUUUAG